rnacentral:rRNA from 1 species
CUACGGGAGGCUCCAGUGAGGAAUAUUGCACAAUGGAGGAAACUCUGAUGCAGCAACGCCGCGUGGAGGAUGACGCAUUUCGGUGUGUAAACUCCUUUUAUAUGUCAAGAAAAUGACGGUAGCAUAUGAAUAAGCACCGGCUAACUCCGUGCCAGCAGCCGCGGUAAUACGGAGGGUGCAAGCGUUACUCGGAAUCACUGGGCGUAAAGGACGCGUAGGCGGGUUGGAAAGUCAGGUGUGAAAUCCUACAGCUUAACUGUAGAACUGCACUUGAAACUUCUAAUCUAGAGUAUGGGAGGGGGAGAUGGAAUUAGUGGUGUAGGGGUAAAAUCCGUAGAUAUCACUAGGAAUACCUAAAGCGAAGGCGAUCUCCCGGAACAUUACUGACGCUAAGGCGUGAAAGCGUGGGGAGCAAACAGGAUUAGAUACCCGCGUAGUC